AUGCCACAAUGCGAUGAAAGGGCAAAACGCAGAGAAUAUGGCGGGAAAAGAAGCGAGCUUUGGGAGGGAAACUCGUUGAAAGGUCUAAUCUUUCACUUUCACGCCUCUUACUGUUAAUUCUUAGAGAGAAUCGGCGACCCAAAGUUUAUCCCUUUUCAAAAAAAAAGGCCCAAAUGGAAACCCUGGGAAUCAUCCAAGACAUCGAAACCCUCGUAUCCGAUCAACUUCAAGUGGUUUCGUACAAGUGGCUGAGUCGAAAUUACUUUGUGUCUUCCAAUGCUGCAAAGAGGUUACUCCAGGAGUUUGUUGAAAAACACUGGAAAUGGGUUCGAAGUGUUGUAUGUUUUGGCUGGCUGGUUAAAGAGCGAUCCUUCAAGCUACCAUAUAAGGCUUGUUUCUGGGCCUAAACUUGCAGAAGCAAAAGAAGAAUUAGAUGGCAACUGCUCCGUCGGGGUUUAUAGUGUGCAAGCUUGCAUCCCAAAGGAUCCAGCUGCACUGUGGAAUGCUGAAUUUGUGCAAGCAGAAAAGCUCUUUAAGCAGGCUCCUACGGUUGAGAAUUGCUUGAGAGAUAACAGGUUUUGUGGGAUUUCCAAUUCCUUUGUUAAGCGUAAUGUGGACGGAGCACCAUUGAGCACUGAAUCUCCGCAACUUAACUCUGAGGCAGUAAUAGGGCAACCAGAAAGUAAUUUAGCUCAUCAAAGUAUCCCAACUCCAAAACAUGUCCAGAAUAAAGGACAGCAAUCUAGCCCAAAAAUCAGUUUACAGCCUACUAAUGUGGUCAAAGAUGUCAAAAGUGAAAUUAAUGGAACAAGAGUUUUUGGUCAGGCUAACAAACGUCCUGCAGACAAAGAAAAAGUUCAGAAUGAGAAAAGCUCCUCUGCUUCUGGAGGUUCAUUGGCGAAUUUCUGGGGCCGGGCAUCUGUGAAGUCAAAGUCAGAUGCUCCAGAGAAAUAUAAUAAUUCCAUUCCUGAUCAUACUGGAGCUAGUGCAGAGCCUCAAACUUGUGCUCGAGAAGCAGUAGUAGGUAGCAGUGACGAUGAUGGUCAACAAUGUUAAUUUUAAGAGAUCUUCCAACGGUGAAGGCACUAGGAAAAGGAGGGUUGUCUUUGAUUUCUCAGAUGACGAUGAAGAUGCAGUUAAUUUAGCAUCACCGGAGAUUCCAAAAGGGCAAUCAUGCCUAGAUCUGAAAGAAAGCAAUAAAGUUAUGCUUCCAGAGAGACCGAAUUUGAAUUUUGAUGAGCAGGUAGAAGAUAACCCCAAGGUUAAGGAAGAAAUAUCUGUUGAUGGGGAAUCCAAUCAACCUUUCAGAGAAGAUCCUUCAGAUGUCAGAAAAGUGAUAAAUGCUGGGAUUAUCCUUAAAGAGAAGAAACCUAUUCCUGAAAAAGAUGUGAACAAAGUGGAUAAACCCACCAACGCUGCUUCAAGUUCACCGAAAAGAAGAAAAGUUGUGAAGACGGUGAUUGAUGAACGAGGAAGAGAAGUGACUGAAGUAAUCUGGGAGGGUGAGGAAACAGAAGCAAGGAAAGCCGACAGUGAUAUAAUCAAGACAGCCGACAGUGAUAUACUCAAGAAAUCUGAUAAUAAAGCUCCCAGUGCUGUUAACAGGCCUACUGCGGCUAAGAAGUCGGUGGGAAACACGGCUCCAACAAAUGCAACAGGGAAAGCGGGAAACAAGAAAGGAGUAAACAAGGAUCCUAAGCAAGGAAAUAUUCUUUCAUUCUUCAAGAAGGUCUAAUAGGCCUUUUCAAAAGCUCAAGUACCCUGCAGGAUUGUAUGGAUAUAUGGUCGGCUUUUACAAGUUCAAAGUUCCCUUGGUGUAAUAUAGGUUUUCGAGUUGGUUAAAUCUCACCGUUCUUUGUGUUUUGGGGGAGUAACAUGAUCGGAGUGGGGGUGCAUUGCUCUCAAAUCAUGUUCUAUUUUUAAAAUGACGGAAAGAAGAGUGUUUUUCUUCUCCGCUGUUAAAUCAACUGCUCGAUAUGUAUAUCUCUUCUCUCGGAUUUACACUUGAUUAUUCAGCAUAUUAAAUGUACCGGCUUAAUUUAUUCUGUAGUAGCAGAGUGCAGACGCUGCUCCAUUUUGAUCGGAUAAUCUGAUACUUUGAAUUAAAAUGGACGUGUUCGUAUUC